GGGUCAGUAGGUUGGUCGUGCCACCGGUACGUACUGGUCUCACUGAUUCCUCCUUCCUGAAGAACCGUAAUGCCAUUAAUUUGGUGUUGCGGGGAAAUAGGACUGUUACUUUGAAAAAAUUAGAGUGUUUAAAGCAAGCUAGCGCUUGAAUACAUUAGCAUGGAAUAAUGAAAUAGGACGAUCGAUCCUAUUUUGUUGGUUUCUAGGAUUGACGUA
rnacentral:rRNA from 1 species